GGAGGAGGGCAGGAGGGAUGUCCGGCGGAGCCCCGGGCCGUGGGAAUCCAGCCUGGGCUCACUCGGGACUCCUUCCCCGGGUCCUUCCGCCCGUCGUGCAGCCCCAAGUGUACUGGACCUUUGACCGCCAAGAGCUCUCGACGCGAGGGAGAAAAGCUCCAGGAGGGCCUACACCCUCGGAAGCCACGCUCUCCUAGGACAGGAGGAAGUGACCUGCUACACUGUGUCCAUGGCUGUUCCAGAACUCCAGAGCUCCCUGCAGUAGUGUUGGCUUAAGAACUAUUCAUUUCUGUUCCUUUUCAAUGUGGGCCAAAAAUGCAACUUGAUUUCAGUUAGAAAAAAAAAGGUACAAGACACAGUUUUCAGGUGACAAAUAUUGCAGGACCCCUGUAAACAGUGGAGCUUUUACCGGAUAGCACUUCUAAAGCAUUCUUAGUGCCAUGUAGUGGUUAUUUUCAGUCCUUAAAUUGUAUUCCUAACGCGUCCGUGUCUUAGUUUCUCUCUCAUGCUCUGUGCUUUCUUUUUCCCCAGCAACAUUAAAAAAAAAAAAAGAGUUAUGGUAUAUUUAAUCAACUGAACAAUAAAAGUUAAAUAGAAACAUCUAAAUAUCAAUAACAAGAAA